AGUGAAUAGAUACCCUGGUAGUCCACGCCGUAAACGAUGACAACUAGGUGUCGGGCAUCUAAAGGAUGUUCGGUGCCGCAGCCAACGCGAUAAGUUGUCCGCCUGGGGAGUACGGCCGCAAGGCUAAAACCUCAAAGGAAUUGACGGGGGUCCCGCACAAGCAGCGGAGCGUGUGGUUUAAUUCGAUGCAACGCGAAGAACCUUACCUGGUCUUGACAUGCAGGUGGUAGGGAACCCGAAAGGGGUACCGACCCUCGGGAGCCUGCACAGGUACUGCAUGGCUGUCGUCAGCUCGUGCCGUGAGGUGUUGGGUU
rnacentral:rRNA from 1 species